rnacentral:rRNA from 1 species
UCGGCCAGCCACAGCUCCAAGAAUAUGCGGAGAAGGUGGCCCGGGUCGGCGUCGGCGCCGUCCGGCGCGGGCCAAGGGCCCGUUUCCAAGUGCGUCUGCACGCCGGCUACCCACGCCGGGUCCUUCAAGUGCCGCUUCCACCGCACCAACUCCCAGGGCCAGGGAAGCCGCUCUUCUUCGCCCCCUUCACCAGCCGCGGCCAACACGGUGCCGCGGCACCCGGCCUCGCCGUCCUCGUCCGCCGGCACCGUCGCGACCCAGUGA